CGAACACGUCGGUGGCGCCGGUGAGCGUCACCGUCACCUCGAAGGUGUCGCCCGCGGUCGCUGUCGUGGGCGCGGAGAUCGAGACGCCGGUGACCGC
rnacentral:tRNA from 1 species